ensembl:lncRNA
GUGAAGGUGUACAUUAAUAACUGUCCCGGUGAAGGUGUAAAUAACUACCCAGUGAAGGUGUACAUUAAUAACUGUCCCAGUGAAGGUGUACAUUAAUAACUACCCAGUGAAGGUGUACAUUAAUAACUGUCCCAGUGAAGGUGUACAUUAAUAACUACCCAGUGAAGGUGUACAUUAAUAACUGUCCCAGUGAAGGUGUACAUUAAUAACGUCCCAGUGAACCGUGUCAUCCCUAUCCCACAUGACAAUUUUCAGAUCUUUCGGCCUCCUCCUGUAUUUUCCUCCUGCUGCGAGGGCCGUGGGUGUUUAUCAUACUAGCGCGCUCCAUCUCUAAGGCUCCGAGUGCGUUCCCAGAGGACGAGAGUGAGGAGAACGGCACACUCCCGUGUUACCUUUGACCUUUUAGAGGAAAUUGCGUCGUCAACAUGUUGGUUGCUCAUCUAUGCUUUUCCUGCAUCGCGACUA